rnacentral:lncRNA from 1 species
UGGAAGGCCCGAACGGGCUGAGACAUGAGGAAAUUCUGCCCCUGGGAAGCAGACAUGUGUUUCUUUAUUAUUAUGUCUGAUUGCAAAAGUAGAACAUCUGGAAAAUACAGACAAAGGUAAAGGGAAAAAAAUCACCAUAACCACCAAGGUAAAGCUUCAGGAUCUUGAACAAACUGAAUAGGCGUGAUGAGAGCACUCCCCAUCUUGGAGGAACGCUGUCCGUCUUUGAUCAUUGAGUAUGCACAGCGGGCUGGGGAUAUGCAGUAGAUACUCUCUCGUGAUGAUGGGCAGUGGCAGCGAGCCCCAGCUCCCAUCAACCAUGGGAUCACGAGGGUGAACACCAGAUACGCUUCCA